ACACGACGGAGAAUCUGCGCAGCUCGAAGAAAUUUUUUUCAUCACUUUUUCAAUUAUUUACGCUGCUUGCUGAUUGGCGGCGCUGUUCCAAUUUUAGUCUGCUGUAAAUCUCAGCUGUUUCUUUAGAUUCUUUGCAUUUCAUAGCAAUUAUUUCGAUAAUUAGUAAACUUGUGUGUUACGAAAUAAAUAUUUUUUCGUACAAUUUAAAGUAAAGUUAGCUCUGAUUUAUUUAAAUAUAUGGAACUGGAACAAGUGAAACUUUUUCAACAUUACAAUGACAGUGAAAGAAAUGAAUGAAUUUUUACAGAUACAAAUAAGUUCAUAUCGUCAAUAUAUUCAAGUAAUAACCUAGAGGAAAAAAAGGAUUUGUUCAAAUAUAACGAGACCCGGUAAACACACUCAUUUACCGUGUAAGGAUUUUUUGGAUUUACUCACAACUCAUUUUUCAACGAAGAGGAGGCGCGAUGUCGGAGCAUCCAUCGACCAACGUGGGACUCGCCGUUUGAUAAGUCAAUGUGAUAUUUGAGAAAUUAGUCAUCGAAAAUCAUCAUCAUCAUCAUCAUCAUCAUUCUGCGCUAUUUAUGUAUUGGAAUCUGCGCUCUGAAUUUCUUCUUGUCUCGCUGGAUGCUGUGGACCAUGAAACAAAUUGUGAAUGUAAAUACACAUGCAGGUAGAGAGAGAGAGAGAAAGGUAUACAGCACACAGGAUAUUCUGAAGUGUCCGAGCAAACGAAGCUAUACAUAAUAAUACCCGCGUACACACAUGUCAAACAUCAAAAGAAACAAGAGAGCCGGGUCGAGUGAGUGAGAGAGAGAUAAAGAGAAAAUCAAACCUGUCGGUACAUAGAUUGGAAUGGAGGCGCGGUCAUAAUUCAAUAUUUGUUCAAAGUUAGCGGAUGGCGCCGGAAAGGCCCUGCGGAAUGGUUCGUUUGAACAGCCAUUAGUAUUAGUUUAUCCAUGUACCUUACUAAUUGCCGUUUUAAGUUCUAGACAAUCGCAGCUUGCGCUCUUUUAACAAAUUCCUCGACGCUCAACAGUGGAAACUAUAUAAAGUCUUGAAAUUUGUUUUUUUUAUUUCAAAGAUUCACGUUUCUUCAUUCAGCAGCUGAAAUUUUCUUUUUUUCUUUUUUUUUGGAGAAAAUGUGCAAAUUUUAUACUUUUUUCUGUUUGAUUUAAUUUUCCUUAUUUCAAAAAGACAAACUUUAUUAUUAAGGGAAAGGUAAAGAAUAUUUUUCACUAAAUCAAGAAAAUAAUUUAAAUAUCCCAUAAAAUUAUUUUUAAGGUUUUUUUUGUGAGUUUCCAAGGUAAAAAUCGACUAAAAAUGAUGUAAA